rnacentral:rRNA from 1 species
UACGUAGGCAGCGAGCGUUGUUCGGAAUUACUGGGCGUAAAGCGCACGUAGGCGGAUAUUUAAGUCAGGGGUGAAAUCCCGGGGCUCAACCCCGGAACUGCCUUUGAUACUGGGUAUCUCGAGUCCGAGAGAGGUGAGUGGAAUUCCGAGUGUAGAGGUGAAAUUCGUAGAUAUUCGGAGGAACACCAGUGGCGAAGGCGGCUCACUGGCUCGGUACUGACGCUGAGGUGCGAAAGCGUGGGGAGCAAACAGG